CAAGCAUGAAGAUGGGAUUUUGAGACAGGACAUUUGGACCUUCUUGCUCUUCAGGCCCACCUAACAUACUGAGGAAGGCUUUACUGGGGGUGUGCCAGCAACAGAGCCCCACACCACCCACAGCUGUACUUCAGCAACUGCAUAGCAUUCAUCACCUGAUUUAACAGGCAGCACCAGCACGUGAGAGGAAAAGAGAAACUACAAGGAGUAGCUGGAAUUUCCCUGGGACUCCGCAGCUGCCCAGGUGGCUCUGAAAGCCUUUGGGUGCGACACCUUCCCACAGGCUGAAGUGACUCACUCAGACUCUCCUCUGAAGAAUUCACUUCACACUGCUCCUAGCACAGAAGAAAAGAGGCUUGAAUUCCAAGGGUUCAGCAAGGGGGAGCGGAUGUCAGAAUUCAAAGCCACCGUGGGCCUCAUCUGCAGUCCCGAGGAAAACACCCAGACCAGGGAUGGCUGCUACUGUUGAUGAGACUCUUUCCGUGUGGCUGGGAGCCGCUGUUUCCAGUGGGAAGAACGGGAGAGCUCAGAGCUCCCAGAAGAGCCUUAUGCCAGAGAAAGACGUGAUGGGAUGAAAGAGCGGCUUUAAAGACACAGUGAUGAAGAGACGAAGAGGGAGCUGGGCCAAGCUGAAUAGAGCAAGCUCUGGAUGGAAGGAAAGGCAAAAGUGGGCAUGAAGGAACAAGCCGGUCCUUGGACUUUGGGGACAGCAGGGACGCUGGAGUUGUGCUGUAACUGAGCAAUACUCCCUGCUGAUUUAGGCGUAACUGCACCCAGGAAUUUGGAGGCUGAUGGGGGCUGGAGGAAAGACUCAAUCCUUGGUUGUGAACUAAAAUCCUGCUCUGAUUCAAUUUGCCGAAAGUGACAGAUCCAAGCGGGCCGCGAACCCUCCUGGUUGUUAACGUUUUAACUCAUUGGAACUGACUGUGGGUAGUUUCAUUUCAUGCAGGUAGCCGUGGUCAAACCUCAAUAGCUUUGGAGGUUCAGAAAAGCGUCCUGGAAGCCAGAUGCUUGUCUGAACAACGUGAGUCUGCACAACUGGGCCAGUCUGCUCACGAGCACAGACCCUCUUGUGAGAUAAUAGGCACUUCCUGAUUCUGGAUGGGCCAGAAUUACCGCAAGAACUGGUAAUUCUUGUGCUACUUUGGUGCUUUUCUUUCCGCCCAGAACCAGGAAGUGUAAUGGUGUGUGAAAAACAAUCAUGUGAAUGAAAAUUGACCCAACUUUUUUGAACUUCAAGAAAGUUUUGGUUCAUGUGUUGGUUGAAGGGUCGGGUCGGUUCUUAUUUCUUCCAAAUCCACCCGUCCCAUGUGUGUGUGUGUGUGUGCGCUGAGCAACCAAAUCAAUCCCAAUAACCAAAUUCUGCAGCAUUUUCUUACAUUUUGACUGAACUGAUGAUAUCUGAUGCAUACUCCAAUGAUCAGGCAGCAAAAAUGCCCGGGGACCAGAUUAUGUGGAUGCCACAGGAAACUGGGGGCUAGUUAGACCACCGGGGUAAAAAUCCUUUCUGUUUUGCAGUGCUCAGUACGAAGGCUUUUUCAGGGACCCCCAAUAUCCACUGGCAUUGUCUUUUGGCAUUUUCUUUUCCUGAACAUUUAUUCUCACUUCGUUAAAUACAUGAAGCCAACCGAGCCAUGGCACCUUUUGGCUCUGGGAUAUUUUUCACCUGACCUUUUGGAGUAUGCAGAAUUGAAUCUCUGGUACUGGUUUUAUUUCACUGGUUGCUCCUAGCAGAUGGGAGCUUUACUUGUAGCACCCUGGUUCAUAUAAUCAGCUCUUCGUGAAAGGACUGAUAGUAUUUCUGUCCCAGGGCAGACUGACGUGUGUGAGUUGGUGUGUGUUGUGUCUGUGGAACCUAGACAGAAUUCUACCACUGUAUCAUUUUCUUAGGCAAUUUUAACUCUGACAAAGCUGUUCCAUAGGUUUAUUUUUACUAGAGAACUUAUUAAUUCAUAUGGUAUUGUAUAAAAGGUGACUGUAUGGAGCCAUUACAGGCCACUGUAUUCACUGUAUUAGGUUGGAAGCCAAAGGUCUUUGCACGGUGAAAUAACUUGACCUAAUUCUGACUAUAUCUGCUCGUUUAUUCCUCAUGUGUCACCUUGGAGUUCCUGACUCACCCAAACGGUGUCAGUCGCUAGAAUCUGUCAGUAGAACAACACCCCAUUCUGUUUGCCAUUGUAGCAAAGUCUGUUCUUAGAAAAGAGCCUUUUGUAGAUUUAUUUAAUAAAACGCUGAAACAUCUGCUUACACUA